CAAAGGUUUGGUCCUAGCCUUGAAGUCAGUUCUUAUUUAAUAUACACAUGCAAGUCUCCGCACCCCUGUGAAAACACCCUAAAAUCCCCCGUAGGGAAUAGGAGUUGGUAUCAGGCACAAUUACUUUGCCCAAAACACCUAGCCUCGCCACACCCACAAGGGCCCUCAGCAGUGAUUAACAUUGAGCAUAAGCGACAGCUUGACUCAGUUAAAUUAUCCAGAGCCGGCCAAUCUGGUGCCAGCCGCCGCGGUUACACCAGAAGCUCAAACUGACCUCCGUCGGCGUAAAGCGUGAUUAAAGGCCCCCCCCAACUUCUUGGAAUCUAACUAAAAUUAAGCUGUGACACGCCUGUUACCUAAGAAGACCAAAAACGAAAGUUAUUCCAACCCCCUCCCACUUGAAUUCACGAUAACUGAGAAACAAACUGGGAUUAGAUACCCCACUAUGCUCAGUCGCAAACUUUAAAUUACACCCCCAUCGCCUGGGAACUACGAGCCAAGCUUAAAACCCAAAGGACUUGACGGUACCCCACAUCCACCUAGAGGAGCCUGUCCUAUAAUCGAUACCCCCCGUUCAACCUCACCAUUUUUUGCUAUUCAGCCUGUAUACCUCCGUCGUCAGCUUACCACGUGAGCGUUAGUGAGCCUAAUGUUUCCUCAACUACACGUCAGGUCAAGGUGCAACUUAUAUUAUGGAAAGAGAUGGGCUACAUUCUCUACUUUAGAUCACACGAAAGACUACCAAUGAAAAUUAGUCAGAAGGCGGAUUUAGAAGUAAAAGGAAACUAGAGAGUUCCUUUAAACUCGGCACUGGGGUGUGUACACACCGCCCGUCACCCUCCUCUAUUGCUACCAAACAGUCUUUAACCCACUCAAGCUUUACAGAAGAGGUAAGUCGUAACAUGGUAAGUAUACCGGAAGGUGUGCUUGGAUACAG
rnacentral:ncRNA from 1 species